UACGAAGGGGGCUAGCGUUGCUCGGAAUCACUGGGCGUAAAGCGCACGUAGGCGGAUUGUUAAGUCAGAGGUGAAAUCCUGGAGCUCAACUCCAGAACUGCCUUUGAUACUGAGGAUCUUGAGUACGGGAGAGGUGAGUGGAACUGCGAGUGUAGAGGUGAAAUUCGUAGAUAUUCGCAAGAACACCAGUGGCGAAGGCGGCUCACUGGCCCGUUACUGACGCUGAGGCACGAAAGCGUGGGGAGCAAACAGG
rnacentral:rRNA from 1 species